rnacentral:rRNA from 1 species
ACGAACGCUGGCGGCGUGCCUAAUACAUGCAAGUUGAGCGCUGAAGGUUGGUACUUGUACCAACUGGAUGAGCAGCGAACGGGUGAGUAACGCGUGGGGAAUCUGCCUUUGAGCGGGGGACAACAUUUGGAAACGAAUGCUAAUACCGCAUAAAAACUUUAAACACAAGUUUUAAGUUUGAAAGAUGCAAUUGCAUCACUCAAAGAUGAUCCCGCGUUGUAUUAGCUAGUUGGUGAGGUAAAGGCUCACCAAGGCGAUGAUACAUAGCCGACCUGAGAGGGUGAUCGGCCACAUUGGGACUGAGACACGGCCCAAACUCCUACGGGAGGCAGCAGUAGGGAAUCUUCGGCAAUGGACGAAAGUCUGACCGAGCAACGCCGCGUGAGUGAAGAAGGUUUUCGGAUCGUAAAACUCUGUUGGUAGAGAAGAACGUUGGUGAGAGUGGAAAGCUCAUCAAGUGACGGUAACUACCCAGAAAGGGACGGCUAACUACGUGCCAGCAGCCGCGGUAAUACGUAGGUCCCGAGCGUUGUCCGGAUUUAUUGGGCGUAAAGCGAGCGCAGGUGGUUUAUUAAGUCUGGUGUAAAAGGCAGUGGCUCAACCAUUGUAUGCAUUGGAAACUGGUAGACUUGAGUGCAGGAGAGGAGAGUGGAAUUCCAUG